rnacentral:rRNA from 1 species
CAAGCGUUGUUCGGAAUUACUGGGCGUAAAGGGCUCGUAGGUGGCCAACUAAGUCAGACGUGAAAUCCCUCGGCUUAACCGGGGAACUGCGUCUGAUACUGGAUGGCUUGAGUUUGGGAGAGGGACGCGGAAUUCCAGGUGUAGCGGUGAAAUGCGUAGAUAUCUGGAGGAACACCGGUGGCGAAGGCGGCAUCCUGGACCGGCAUUGACGCUGAGGAGCGAAAGCUAGGGGAGCAAACGGG